GGGGGCGUAGCUCAAUUGGUUAGAGCGCCGGCUUGUCACGCCGGAGGUUGCGGGUUCGAGUCCCGUCGUCCUCG
rnacentral:tRNA from 1 species